rfam:Hanseniaspora opuntiae strain AWRI3578 Hanseniaspora_opuntiae_AWRI3578_scaffold3, whole genome shotgun sequence.
GCUUUGGUAGCUCAGUCGGAAGAGCGUUAGUCUCAUAUUUAGUAAUWAAUCGRGUAAUCUAAAGGUCGAGAGUUCGAACCUCCCCCAGAGCA